rnacentral:rRNA from 1 species
UUAAGCGACUAAGCGUACACGGUGGAUGCCCUGGCAGUCAGAGGCGAUGAAGGACGUGCUAAUCUGCGAUAAGCGUCGGUAAGGUGAUAUGAACCGUUAUAACCGGCGAUUUCCGAAUGGGGAAACCCAGUGUGUUUCGACACACUAUCAUUAACUGAAUCCAUAGGUUAAUGAGGCGAACCGGGGGAACUGAAACAUCUAAGUACCCCGAGGAAAAGAAAUCAACCGAGAUUCCCCCAGUAGCGGCGAGCGAACGGGGAGCAGCCCAGAGCCUGAAUCAGUGUGUGUGUUAGUGGAAGCGUCUGGAAAGGCGCGCGAUACAGGGUGACAGCCCCGUACACAAAAAUGCACAUGCUGUGAGCUCGAUGAGUAGGGCGGGACACGUGGUAUCCUGUCUGAAUAUGGGGGGACCAUCCUCCAAGGCUAAAUACUCCUGACUGACCGAUAGUGAACCAGUACCGUGAGGGAAAGGCGAAAAGAACCCCGGCGAGGGGAGUGAAAAAGAACCUGAAACCGUGUACGUACAAGCAGUGGGAGCACGCUUAGGCGUGUGACUGCGUACCUUUUGUAUAAUGGGUCAGCGACUUAUAUUCUGUAGCAAGGUUAACCGAAUAGGGGAGCCGAAGGGAAACCGAGUCUUAACUGGGCGUUAAGUUGCAGGGUAUAGACCCGAAACCCGGUGAUCUAGCCAUGGGCAGGUUGAAGGUUGGGUAACACUAACUGGAGGACCGAACCGACUAAUGUUGAAAAAUUAGCGGAUGACUUGUGGCUGGGGGUGAAAGGCCAAUCAAACCGGGAGAUAGCUGGUUCUCCCCGAAAGCUAUUUAGGUAGCGCCUCGUGAAUUCAUCUCCGGGGGUAGAGCACUGUUUCGGCAAGGGGGUCAUCCCGACUUACCAACCCGAUGCAAACUGCGAAUACCGGAGAAUGUUAUCACGGGAGACACACGGCGGGUGCUAACGUCCGUCGUGAAGAGGGAAACAACCCAGACCGCCAGCUAAGGUCCCAAAGUCAUGGUUAAGUGGGAAACGAUGUGGGAAGGCCCAGACAGCCAGGAUGUUGGCUUAGAAGCAGCCAUCAUUUAAAGAAAGCGUAAUAGCUCACUGGUCGAGUCGGCCUGCGCGGAAGAUGUAACGGGGCUAAACCAUGCACCGAAGCUGCGGCAGCGACGCUGAUGCGUUGUUGGGUAGGGGAGCGUUCUGUAAGCCUGCGAAGGUGUGCUGUGAGGCAUGCUGGAGGUAUCAGAAGUGCGAAUGCUGACAUAAGUAACGAUAAAGCGGGUGAAAAGCCCGCUCGCCGGAAGACCAAGGGUUCCUGUCCAACGUUAAUCGGGGCAGGGUGAGUCGACCCCUAAGGCGAGGCCGAAAGGCGUAGUCGAUGGGAAACAGGUUAAUAUUCCUGUACUUGGUGUUACUGCGAAGGGGGACGGAGAAGGCUAUGUUGGCCGGGCGACGGUUGUCCCGGUUUAAGCGUGUAGGCUGGUUUUCCAGGCAAAUCCGGAAAAUCAAGGCUGAGGCGUGAUGACGAGGCACUACGGUGCUGAAGCAACAAAUGCCCUGCUUCCAGGAAAAGCCUCUAAGCAUCAGGUAACAUCAAAUCGUACCCCAAACCGACACAGGUGGUCAGGUAGAGAAUACCAAGGCGCUUGAGAGAACUCGGGUGAAGGAACUAGGCAAAAUGGUGCCGUAACUUCGGGAGAAGGCACGCUGAUAUGUAGGUGAGGUCCCUCGCGGAUGGAGCUGAAAUCAGUCGAAGAUACCAGCUGGCUGCAACUGUUUAUUAAAAACACAGCACUGUGCAAACACGAAAGUGGACGUAUACGGUGUGACGCCUGCCCGGUGCCGGAAGGUUAAUUGAUGGGGUUAGCGCAAGCGAAGCUCUUGAUCGAAGCCCCGGUAAACGGCGGCCGUAACUAUAACGGUCCUAAGGUAGCGAAAUUCCUUGUCGGGUAAGUUCCGACCUGCACGAAUGGCGUAAUGAUGGCCAGGCUGUCUCCACCCGAGACUCAGUGAAAUUGAACUCGCUGUGAAGAUGCAGUGUACCCGCGGCAAGACGGAAAGACCCCGUGAACCUUUACUAUAGCUUGACACUGAACAUUGAGCCUUGAUGUGUAGGAUAGGUGGGAGGCUUAGAAGUGUGGACGCCAGUCUGCAUGGAGCCGACCUUGAAAUACCACCCUUUAAUGUUUGAUGUUCUAACGUUGACCCGUAAUCCGGGUUGCGGACAGUGUCUGGUGGGUAGUUUGACUGGGGCGGUCUCCUCCUAAAGAGUAACGGAGGAGCACGAAGGUUGGCUAAUCCUGGUCGGACAUCAGGAGGUUAGUGCAAUGGCAUAAGCCAGCUUGACUGCGAGCGUGACGGCGCGAGCAGGUGCGAAAGCAGGUCAUAGUGAUCCGGUGGUUCUGAAUGGAAGGGCCAUCGCUCAACGGAUAAAAGGUACUCCGGGGAUAACAGGCUGAUACCGCCCAAGAGUUCAUAUCGACGGCGGUGUUUGGCACCUCGAUGUCGGCUCAUCACAUCCUGGGGCUGAAGUAGGUCCCAAGGGUAUGGCUGUUCGCCAUUUAAAGUGGUACGCGAGCUGGGUUUAGAACGUCGUGAGACAGUUCGGUCCCUAUCUGCCGUGGGCGCUGGAGAACUGAGGGGGGCUGCUCCUAGUACGAGAGGACCGGAGUGGACGCAUCACUGGUGUUCGGGUUGUCAUGCCAAUGGCACUGCCCGGUAGCUAAAUGCGGAAGAGAUAAGUGCUGAAAGCAUCUAAGCACGAAACUUGCCCCGAGAUGAGUUCUCCCUGACCCUUUAAGGGUCCUGAAGGAACGUUGAAGACGACGACGUUGAUAGGCCGGGUGUGUAAGCGCAGCGAUGCGUUGAGCUAACCGGUACUAAUGAACCGUGAGGCUUAACCUU